rnacentral:rRNA from 1 species
AGCGAACGCUGGCGGCGUGCCUAACACAUGCAAGUCGAGCGAAGGCAUGAGUGUAGCAAUACACUUAUGUACUUAGCGGCGGACGGGUGAGUAACACGUGGAUAAUCUGCCCUGAGGACCGGGACAACUCUUGGAAACGGGAGCUAAUACCGGAUGUGACCACGAUGCUUGAGGGCAUUGGGGUAAAAGGCGGCCUGCAAGGGCUGUUGCUUCGGGAUGAGUUCACGACCCAUCAGGUAGUUGGGGGGU